rnacentral:sRNA from 1 species
GCUGGGUGUGGUGGUCCACACCUGUAAUCCCAGCACUUGGGAGGCUGAGGUAAGAGGAUCACUUGAGUCUGGAGUUUGAGACUAUGCUGGGCAGCAUAACAACACCCUGUUCUAAACAAAACAGAGCACAG